rnacentral:tRNA from 1 species
GCCCCUGUAGCUCAGCGGUAGAGCGGCAGUUUCGUAAACUGCAGGUCACGCGUUCAAGUCGCGUCAGGGGCU